rnacentral:rRNA from 1 species
CGUAGGGGGCUAGCGUUGUCCGGAUUUAUUGGGCGUAAAGAGCGUGUAGGCGGCCGGGUAAGUCCGGUGUGAAAACUCGAGGCUUAACCUCGAGAUGUCAUCGGAAACUAUUCGGCUAGAGUCCGGAAGAGGAGAGUGGAAUUCCUGGUGUAGCGGUGAAAUGCGCAGAUAUCAGGAAGAACACCCAUGGCGAAAGCAGCUCUCUGGGACGGUACUGACGCUGAGACGCGAAAGCGUGGGGAGCGAACAGGAUUAGAUACCCUGGUAGUCCACGCCGUAAACGAUGGGUGCUAGGUGUGGGCGGUGUCGACUCCGUCCGUGCCGAAGCUAACGCAUUAAGCACCCCGCCUGGGGAGUACGGCCGCAAGGCU